CGGAAUAACGCAGGGAAACUUGUGCUAAUACCGUAUGUGUCCUUCGGGAGAAAGAUUUAUCGGGAAAGGAUGAGCCCGCGUUGGAUUAGCUAGUUGGUGGGGUAAAGGCCUACCAAGGCGACGAUCCAUAGCUGGUCUGAGAGGAUGAUCAGCCACAUUGGGACUGAGACACGGCCCAAACUCCUACGGGAGGCAGCAGUGGGGAAUAUUGGACAAUGGGCGCAAGCCUGAUCCAGCCAUGCCGCGUGAGUGAUGAAGGCCCUAGGGUUGUAAAGCUCUUUCACCGGAGAAGAUAAUGACGGUAUCCGGAGAAGAAGCCCCGGCUAACUUCGUGCCAGCAGCCGCGGUAAUACGAAGGGGGCUAGCGUUGUUCGGAAUUACUGGGCGUAAAGCGCACGUAGGCGGAUCGAUCAGUCAGGGGUGAAAUCCCAGGGCUCAACCCUGGAACUG
rnacentral:rRNA from 1 species